AUUCUGCUGAGUUGAAGGGAUCCUCCUUUCAGACAACCUCUCCAAAGUACAAUAGGACUAGGUUCCCACAACAAGGAUUAGAUUUGGCUACUGCAGUCCCGGUUUGGGCCAGCCUCACUUGUGAAGACUAAAGAUGAAGACAACAUACAAGAACAAUUUCGAGGAUGGCAACACACUUUUUAUUCCACCUAUUUAUCCCCUUUUAUGUGUAAGCAACUUUCCACAAGAUAAAACAAAAGUAAAUGACAGGUUAUUUCUUUU